AUGUGGAAUGAUGAUCUCAAAGUUUCUGUUCAUAGCGCCUCCUUUCAUUAUAUCUUAGCGAACGUAGUUCAUGUAGCUUCGGAUGUUCACUUUUGUUUGAUAUGUAUAUAUGGUGAUCCUUAUCAUAGGCAAACUGGUACUAUUUGGAAUCAUGUUACCAAUUUUGUGUAUGACCACCUGGGUAAGCCUAUGAUCUGUAUGGGCAACCUCAAUGACAUUAUGUAUGAUGCUGAUAUAUGUAAUGGUAGUGUGAAUUAUUAUCGUAUGUCUACUUUCCGUUCUUUAAUUAAAAAUUGUGGUUUCUUUGAUAUCGAUUAUAGUGGACCUGCUUACACUUAG
rnacentral:rRNA from 1 species